AUGUAUUCCACUUGGCUCUGUCUACGGGAUUGUAUCACAUGGCCUCCGUGUUGCCUCCUUAUUGAAAGACAUUUCCAGCCUGUGCAAGCUGCAAUCGUUGGGAGAAUUUCCUGCCUGGGAGUCUGGAAACUGCCAAGAGUGAAAAGCCGCAGCCAGCCAGCGAGGCCUCUGUUGUCAUUGGCCCAAACAACAACAAAAACAGCCACAACCACCACCACCACCACAACAAAACACGCCACGUGUGCACAAGCACACACAAACACGCCCACAGAACCAACCAAACGGACAAGGCUUCAAGGAGAAGCUUCUGGGCUGCGCGUUCCGGCAGCGAGGCCUGUCCCUUGGCACGGGGCCAUGGCAGCCCAGUUCCCAGCCCCCCACCAUCUGUCAUCAGCACUCUGCCUACUGUCAAGAGACACAGAGAAUUAAUCAUGAACCCAGUUGCCUAGAGGAGAAAAUAAUCUAUUUGUGGCAGUCUGAAAAAGCAAGAAGUUAUACGAAACCACUGAAGCCACCAGAGGCAAGAAUGGCAUCUCCAGACUCCUGGGGGAAAGUUCAUUGAGUUGCUAGUUGAAGAAUCUGGGGACACCUGAAUAGUCUCCUCCACAUCUCUAUUUUACCAGCCUUGGGUCGUUUAAUCUCCUCCGCCUACCUCUACUGCUAUGUGUAAUAUUUUUCCUCAGCAACUGCAACCCUACUUGAUCAUUUUAAGAAAGGGAAUUCUUAAGUCCCUUUGUAGCUCAGAAAAGCGUGUUCUCUCAUAUACAUCUUUCCUUUUACUGCUAGGCUAUUAGUUCUGACUUCAACUGCUUCUUCUGAAUAGAUUCCCAACUGUUGUGUCCUGAAGGACUGUGUUGCCUUUCUCACUUACUCCUUCAUUAGAACUUUUCCUCUGUCUGCUCCUCUUCACACCUCUCUCAGCCUCUGAGAUAGUCAGCAGUUCAGAAUAUGGUUAGAUUAUAUUUGCCCAGACACUGAUACCUCAUGCUUGUCUUUGUGGAUAUUAGAAAGAUAAGGCAUUAGGAGUCAGAGACUUGGGUGUCAAUCCUGAUGUAAUCAUAAAUAAAGUGACUGAGUUUCAAGCA
rnacentral:lncRNA from 1 species